rnacentral:rRNA from 1 species
AGUGAACGCUGGCGGUAGGCCUAACACAUGCAAGUCGAACGGCAGCACAGUAAGAGCUUGCUCUUACGGGUGGCGAGUGGCGGACGGGUGAGGAAUACAUCGGAAUCUACUUUUUCUUGGGGGAUAACGUAGGGAAACUUACGCUAAUACCUCAUACGACCUACGGGUGAAAGCAGGGGAUCUUCGGACCUUGCGCGAUUGAAUGAGCCGAUGUCGGAUUAGCUAGUUGGCGGGGUAAAGGCCCACCAAGGCGACGAUCCGUAGCUGGUCUGAGAGGAUGAUCAGCCACACUGGAACUGAGACACGGUCCAGACUCCUACGGGAGGCAGCAGUGGGGAAUAUUGGACAAUGGGCGAAAGCCUGAUCCAGCCAUACCGCGUGGGUGAAGAAGGCCUUCGGGUUGUAAAGCCCUUUUGUUGGGAAAGAAAAGCAGCAGGUUAAUACCCCGCUGUUCUGACGGUACCCAAAGAAUAAGCACCGGCUAACUUCGUG